AUCGAGUUAUGGUUGAACUAACAACAGGAAAAAAAUUUUGGUGCUCUGUUUUAAUAGCUGCAGAUGGGGCUCAUUCUUUAGUAAGAGAAACAUACUUUUCGAAAAUGCUUGGUUGGAAAGCUCCUAAAAUUCAUUAUAGAGGCUAUUCUUGCUGGCGAGGCAUAACUUCUAAGCCUGAAGCUCUUUACAAUCAUGACCAUCCCGUCAUGUUUAAAACUAUUAUGCAUAAAACUCACUACGUUUCCUUCACGGCCGGCCGGAUGCCGAAAGGGCGGACUUUUUGGGUUUGCGAUUUUCAGUUUUUUUUAGACGCACCUUCCCCACUACAGCUUAAGAACUUUUUGCUUUCCUGCGUUGGGAAAGAAGCAUCAGAAGAAAUAAAAACUAUUAUUCGUUGUACUGACGAAAAAGAUAUAAUUCGUACCAAUAUAUUUGAUGGUGCCCUUUUAAAUUUUCUAAAAAGUCGCCGGUGUGGAAGAGUUUGUUUGAUUGGCGAUGCAGCUCAUCCAAUGGUUCAUCAUUUCGGUCAAGGCGCCUGCAUGGCUGUAGAAGACGCCUGCCAACUUGUAAAAUGUCUUGAUCUUGCAAUAUUAAAAAAGAACGGCGAAAAUUCUGACUUUUUUGCUCCGGGAAAGCCCUCACUGGAGGAAGCAGAUGCACUGUGGCCACUUGCAUUGCAGCUCUACGAUUCAUGGCCUCUCCAAUGGCGACCUUUUUUCUUUUUAAUUUUUUCUCGCGCUAGUGGCUUUAUUUAUAUGUGUAACAAUCCUAUAGCUAAUGCGAUUGUCGGUGUUGUUCUCCUCAAUCGGUUCUUUUUAGCUGUGGUUGUUUCAUUUAUGUCAUUUCUGCUAUUCAAAAGCG